rnacentral:misc_RNA from 1 species
GAGAUCAUGCCCUCGCGGGUAGACCUCCCACCCUGUGUAAAUUACUCUUGUUGCUUCGGCAGGCCGCCUUCGGGCCCUCGGCUUCGGCUGGGGAGCGCUUGCCAGAGGACCGUAACUCUCGUGUUUAUUUGUCGUCUGAGUACUAUAUAAUAAGUUAAAACUUUCAACAACGGAUCUCUUGGUUCU